ACUUGUAAGCUAUCACCUUAAGAGCGGCCCGCGCUCUAUCAGGUAGUUGGUAGGGUAAUGGCCUACCAAGCCUUAGACGGACAGCUGGCUUGAGAGAGUGGUCAGCCACAUCGGGACUGAGACACUGCCCGGACUCCUACGGGAGGCUGCAGUCGAGAAUCUUUCUCAAUGGGCGAAAGCCUGAAGACGCGACGCCGCGUGGGGGAUGAAGGUCUUCGGAUUGUAAACCCCUUUUAUCGGGGAGGAAUGUUGAACGGUGAACAAUCGUUCAGCUUGACUGUACUCGGUGAAUAAGCCACGGCUAACUCCGUGCCAGCAGCCGCGGUAAUACGGAGGUGGCGAGCGUUACUCGGUUUGACUGGGUGUAAAGGGUCCGUAGGCGGCCAUAUAAGUGUGAGGUGAAAUCCUUCGGCUUAACCGGAGAAUUGCCUUUCAAACUAUUUGGCUCGAGGAUGGGAGAAGAGAGCAGAACUGUCAGUGUAAGAGUGAAAUCUGUGGAUAUUGACAGGAAUGCCUGUGGUGUAGACGGCUCUCUAGUCCAUUCCUGACGCUGAGGGACGAAAGCUAGGGGAGCAAACAGGAUUAGAUACCCUGGUAGUCCUAGCUGUAAACGAUGGACACUAGGUGUCUGCUUUUUAAGUGGAUGCCGUAGGUAACCCGAUAAGUGUCCCACCUGGGGACUACGGUCGCAAGACUAAAACUCAAAGGAAUUGACGGGGGCCCGCACAAGCGGUGGAACACGUGGUUUAAUUCGAUGCUACGCGAGGAACCUUACCAGGGUUUGACAUGUAGGAAGUAGUGCCCCGAAAGGGGUUACGACCAGUAUCCAAUCUGGAACUUACACAGGUGCCGCAUGGUUGUCGUCAGCUCGUGCCGUGAGGUGUUUCCUUAAGUGGAAGAACGAGCGAAACCCUCGCCCUUUGUUGCAACCUCGGCGAAAGUCGGGGGCACUCUAAGGGGACUGCCCGCGUUAAGUGGGAGGAAGGCGGGGACGACGUCAAAUCCGCAUGGCCCUUAUAUCCUGGGCUACACACGUGUUACAAUGCCUAUCACAGUGGGACGCCAAACCGUAAGGUGGAGCAAAUCUCAUAAAAAAUAGGCCCAGUUCGGAUUGAGGGCUGCAACUCGUCCUCAUGAAGUUGGAAUCGCUAGUAAUGGCGUAUCAGCUACGAUGCCGUGAAUACGUUCCCGGGCCUUGUACACACCGCCCGUCAAGCGCUGAAAGUGGGGGGCACCCGAAGCUCAACCCUAGGUUGAUUCACGGUGAAUUCCAUGAUUGGCGCUAAGUCGCAACAAGGUA
rnacentral:rRNA from 1 species